rnacentral:misc_RNA from 1 species
GAAAUGCGAUAAGUAAUGUGAAUUGCAGAAUUCCGUGAAUCAUCGAAUCUUUGAACGCACAUUGCGCCCUCUGGCAUUCCGGGGGGCAUGCCUGUCCGAGCGUCAUUACGCACCCUCAAGCCCGGCUUGUGUGAUGGGCCCUGGCGUCUCGUUCGCGAGACGGGCCCGAAAGGCAGCGGCGGCGUCGACCCGAUGAGCCCGCGCGUAUGGGGACUUUUGUCACACGUUUGCGGUGCGGACCGGCGCCUGCUUGACGUUUCUGAUUAUCCAGGUUGACCUCGGAUCAGGUAGGGAUACCCGCUGAACUUAAGC